rnacentral:rRNA from 1 species
UUAAAUUGAAGAGUUUGAUCAUGGCUCAGAUUGAACGCUGGCGGCAGGCCUAACACAUGCAAGUCGAACGGUAACAUGAAGAAACUUGCUGCUUCGCCUACGGCUGCGCGCGGG